UACGUUUUGUAUGAUAUUUUCUGUAAGUC
rnacentral:sRNA from 1 species